UACGUAGGGGGCAAGCGUUGUCCGGAUUUAUUGGGCGUAAAGAGCGUGUAGGCGGCCAUGCAGGUCCGCUGUGAAAACUGGAGGCUUAACCUCCAGACGUCGGUGGAAACCGCAUGGCUAGAGUCCGGAAGAGGAGAGUGGAAUUCCCGGUGUAGCGGCGAAAUGCGCAGAUAUCGGGAAGAACACCCGUGGCGAAGGCGGCUCUCUGGGACGGUACUGACGCUGAGACGCGAAAGCGUGGGGAGCGAACAGG
rnacentral:rRNA from 1 species